AAAUUGAUGAUAUUAAGAAGACGAACCAGCGAAGGCGAACUAUCCAUUGCAUUACUGACACUGAAAAUAACAAAAGUAUAGGGAGUAAAGAGGAUUAGAUACCCUCGUAAUCUAUACCGUGACCUAUGAGUAUUGAAAUUGGAAUAAAAUUUUUAUUCUAUUUUCCAGCUAACGCGUAAAAUACUCCGCCUGGGGACUAAGGUCGCAAGAUUAAAACUCAAAGAAAUUGACGGAGAUUUGACCAAGUAGUGGAGCAUGUGGUUUAAUCCGAUAGUCCGCGUAAAAUCUUACCAAUUCUAGUUUAUAUGUUUUAAUAUAUAAAUAUAUUAAAUUAAAUUUAAAUUAAUUUUAUUAAUUAAUUAAAUAACAUAUAAUCAGGUGUUGCAUGGCUGUCGUCAGUUCGUGUUGUGAAAUAUUUGAUUAAUUUCAAUAACGGGCGC
rnacentral:rRNA from 1 species